rnacentral:lncRNA from 1 species
AGUCAUUUGGACUUGAUUUACUAUUUUUAUAAAAUGCAAAACCAAAUCUGCACAUUUCUGCCGGGAAUUUCAGAGAACAGGGGACAAAGUCAUUCAUUUCAGUGACUUCCUGUGUGAAUUAGAUUUCCAAAUUUUUAUGGUAUCAACCUUACUGUAUGGGCUAGAUAUCCACCAAAUUUGAGCGCAGUUUGACAACGUUUACUAUUUUUAAAAAAUCAAUGUUUCCGAUUGCUCAAAACUGCCGAAUAUGGUAGACCGUGGUAAAAACGCCAUAUCUCCCAAACCACUUGGAGUUUCUGACUCUACUUUUUUUUAAAUGAAACUAGACUCAAAUACCUUUCUUUUGGUAUGAGUCUGGAAUCCAGGGGAUGUCGGAGUCAGAACGUGUUAAAGUUUGAAGUCGAGUCUGUGUAAAAACAGAACAUGUCUUGAUGAUGUUUGAUGGUAUUUUCUUAUGUGCCUUAUGUGAUUGUGUUGCCUAAGUGUUUGAAUGAGAUUAGACGAGUCUUAUAUGAGAGAUGAAUCGAGACCUAG